GGAGAGAUGGCUCAGUGGUUAAGAGCACUGGCUGCUCUUCCAGAGGUCCUGAGUUCAAUUCCCAGCAACCUCA
rfam:Rattus norvegicus chromosome 13, whole genome shotgun sequence.